UACGUAGGCAGCAAGCGUUGUUCGGAGUUACUGGGCGUAAAGGGGUGUGUAGGCGGUUCCCUAAGUUUGGUGUGAAAUCUCCCGGCUCAACUGGGAGGGUGCGCCGAAAACUGGGGGGCUAGAGUACUGGAUGGGAGAGUGGAAUUCCUGGUGUAGCGGUGAAAUGCGUAGAUAUCAGGAGGAACACCUGUGGUGUAGACGGCUCUCUGGACAGUAACUGACGCUGAGACACGAAAGCGUGGGUAGCAAACAGG
rnacentral:rRNA from 1 species